ACAAUGGCCAUGCUAGUUGGAAAUCCUGGUAGUUGAGGUUUACUCAUCUGAAAGGGGUUACAGACUGGGAGAAAGUGACUCAGCUACUCAGAAUACACUAUGAUACCAACCUUUCUUUCAUAGUCUGAUGACACCAUACAUCACCUGAGGCACACCAGAGAUAGUGCUGAGAAUCAGGAGAUUCCUCAGUGCCAGUUUUUGUUAUGGAAAAAUGGAGUGAAACCGACAUACCACAACACAGACCUGCUUGGGGUUGCAACUCCUCACAUCUGGAGAACAUCAAGCAACAUCAAGUCUGAGACUGAUGAAACAACAGUUCAAUUUGGCAUUGCAGAAUUUAAUUAGGGAUUAAAUUAGGGAUUUAUCUGUC